CUUUCUAAUCCAAGCCCUACAUUUUCCAGAAAUCUUGAGGAAGAGUGGAAACGCAUGGGCUUUGGAGCUGGACACUUGGGGUUUAAAGCCUGACUCUGCUGUGAGACCACGAGAG
rnacentral:lncRNA from 1 species